AUGAGGACCCCUGCUCAUUUCCUUGGGCUGCUGUUGCUCUGUUUUCUAGGUGGCAGAUGUGAUGUCCAAAUGACCCAGUCUCCAUCCUCCCUGUCUGCAUCUAUGGGAGACAUAGUCACCAUGACUUGCCAGGCAAGUCAGGGCAUUAGCAUUGAUUUAAACUGGUUUUAGCAAGUACCAGGGAAAGCUCCUAAUCUCCUAAUCUAUGGUGCAAGCAACUUGGAUAAUGAAGUCACAUCAAGGUUCAGUGGCAGUGGAUAUGGGACAGAUUUCACUCUUACCAUCAGCAGCCUAGGAGAUGAAGAUAUGGUAACUUAUUACUUCUACAGUAUUAUAAGUCUCCUCC